UCCCCAGUGGUCUAGUGGUUAGGACUCAGCACUUUCAUUGCUGGGGCCCCGGUUCGAUUCCUCGUGGGGGGG